rnacentral:rRNA from 1 species
ACGUAGGGACCAAGCGUUGUUCGGAUUUACUGGGCGUAAAGGGCGCGUAGGCGGCAAUUCAAGUCAUCUGUGAAAUCUCCGGGCUUAACCCGGAACGGUCAGGUGAUACUGUUUUGCUAGAGUGCGGAAGGGGCAAUCGGAAUUCUCGGUGUAGCGGUGAAAUGCGUAGAUAUCGAGAGGAACACCAGAGGUGAAGACGGGUUGCUGGGCCGACACUGACGCUGACAGCGCGAAAGCCAGGGGAGCAAACGGG